GCGACCACCCGUCCUAUGUUGCCAGCGGGUCAUGCCGGGGACUCAUGGGAGACUGCCGGGGUCAAACUCGGAGGAAGGUGGGGAUGACGUCAAAUCAUCAUGCCCCUUAUGUCUUGGGCUUCACGCAUGCUACAAUGGCCGGUACAAAGGGCUGCGAUACCGCGAGGUGGAGCGAAUCCCAGAAAGCCGGUCUCAGUUCGGAUUGGGGUCUGCAACUCGACCCCAUGAAGUCGGAGUCGCUAGUAAUCGCAGAUCAGCAACGCUGCGGUGAAUACGUUCCCGGGCCUU
rnacentral:rRNA from 1 species